UCUUUAGGAAUUGAAGAACAAUCUUAUUGGGAAAAGAUUAAAAAUGAUAAAGAAAAAUCAUAUCGGUCAAGAAAGAAAACAAGAGGCCGAACCAAGAUAAUUACAAAAGUAGAGAAGACCAUAAAAAACACACACAUCCGUUUUGAUGACUGACUGUAAAUUUUAUGUUUCACAAAUAAAAUAUUUUAUAUAAAAAUA